GGUCUAGCGGUUAGAACGCUGGGCUUGUAAUCCUGGGGUCUCGGGUUCGAUUCCCGG
rnacentral:tRNA from 1 species